UACGUAGGGUGCAAGCGUUGUCCGGAAUUAUUGGGCGUAAAGCGUGCGCAGGCGGUUUUGUAAGCCAGAUGUGAAAUCCCCGGGCUUAACCUGGGAAUGGCAUUGGAUACUGGCAGGCUAGAGUGCGGUAGAGGAUGGCGGAAUUCCCGGUGUAGCAGUGAAAUGCGUAGAGAUCGGGAGGAACAUCUGUGGCGAAGGCGGCCAUCUGGACCAGCACUGACACUGAGGCACGAAAGCGUGGGGAGCAAACGGG
rnacentral:rRNA from 1 species